UACAGAGGGGGCAAGCGUUGUUCGGAAUUACUGGGCGUAAAGGGCGCGUAGGCGGCCUGUUAAGUCGAACGUGAAAUCCCCGGGCUCAACCCGGGAACUGCGUCCGAUACUGGCAGGCUUGAAUCCGGGAGAGGGAUGCGGAAUUCCAGGUGUAGCGGUGAAAUGCGUAGAUAUUCGCAAGAACACCAGUGGCGAAGGCGGCUCACUGGCCCGAUACUGACGCUGAGGUGCGAAAGCGUGGGGAGCAAACAGG
rnacentral:rRNA from 1 species